AGAGGUCUGGCCCCGCCCCCGCUGAGCCCCAGAACGCUCCCAGCCGAACCCCGCGCCGCGGCCACGCCCCCUUUCUGGAAGGGAUCCGCGGCGGCUGCAGCUGCCAAGGUCCCCGAGGGCGCUCGCGGCAGGGGAGGAUCAAGGAACGACUUGUUUAUUAUAGGGUCCUGUUGCUGGGGGAGGGGGUAGCCGUGACCGCGCGGGGGGAAAGGCAGGGGAACUUGAGGGGGCGGCGGGCCGGGAAAACGGUUGCCCCCAGCGUCUGGGAACCUGAGACUACAGGCACAAGUAAGCGCUCGGGUGGAUGCCUGUGGGACGGCGGCGCGGGGAGCAGACGUUAACCCGGCCGGACCUCGCGCACAUACCCCACGCUAACCCGGCCUUGCAUAGGGUCGGAAUAUGGGGAUGGGGUCCAGGCAGGGCUGGUCCCAGCACCGAGCUCUCUUGCAGCGCCACCAGCUUGUUAACUCUACAGCCCCAGGGGGUGGGUUAAUGGGGGAGGUCCAUGCCCCCCCCCCCAUAUGAUCCUCGUCCGCUAGAUCGUGUCCGCUCCCACCCCCAACUGCUUCCAAGGAGAGAGUUUGGCGAGGGUGGCUAGAAGAGGUUUGUUGGGCUCGGGUUCCUAGCGCCUGGUCUUGGGUCUGAGAACGGGGACUCAAAUUCGAUGAACACAAGGGCCCUCCGCGGGCCCUACAAACCGACAGCGGUUCGGUGGUGUCUCCCCCGCCCUCUGUACCCGAGAGUCCUCGGGCGUCUGCCGGGUCCUAGCGCCCCUCCUUCCAAGGCGCUUUGUGUAAAAGAACCGGAGAGUUGCAUCAGGACCAAGGACUAGAUCUCCGGAAAAGUCCGGGAGUGCAAUGGCCAUCCCCUGUUUCGUCAUUCAGGCGGGGCCACAGGAUAUCUGGCUUGAUGGCAGUGUUCGGGGACGAAUAAUGAUUGCUGAGGGUGGGAGGAGGUUCGGACGGACUCGACCUUUACGUCUUUAAAGGCUUAUCAAUCUGGGACACCGGGAUCCCGAUAGAAGAGGGAACCAAAUUUACAGCAGACGCUCCCACUCCGGGAGCCUAACCAGAUCCGACUGGCAGGCCUCGCCUCGGGGGCGGGCUUGCGCGUGACAGAUGACACUUGCUGGAGGUCGGGCCCCUGCCAUCCCCACCCCCACCUAAUUAAAAAAAAAAAAAAAAAAAAAAAGGCUGACCCGUGGGCCUUUCGGGCAAACCGUGACUCCAACCAGAAAGGACCGGAAUUGAGGCCCUGCACCGCCCCCCUCCCCCAUUUUCCAGAUGGAGGAACCAAUUAUGGAGACAAAUUUAUGGAUAAAAAAUAAAUUAGGGGGAGUCAGAUUAGGAGAUAGCGUUAAGAUUGCCGCACAACAGAAUAGUCUUUUGGCCGCUGGGGCGAUUAAGGCCUGAACACUGGCCCUUUCUUCCUGUCCUCCGAGUUCCAGUCACUUACUGGGAGCCUUAAAGACACCAGGGUCAGGGGGGUUAGGGGAAGUGCUUGGAGGGCUGGUGGUGGUAGAUGACAUUCUCUUGAAAUCACAGUUUACUGAGGUGGGGUGACCCGUAUGGAUGGGUCACCAUCCAUAGAAGGUUAGGGAAUGAAUCCAUCAGAGUACUAUUCCCUCUUCCCACCAGACAGACUGGGUUGGGGACACCUGAGACAGAAGGAGAUAGCUUGGGGAUGUUUUUCUUUUUCAUCUCUGUCUCUCUCUCUCUCUCUCUCUCCCUCUCUCUGUGGCAGGAAAAAAAGGAAAUAUUUCAGAAAAAAAAUGUGGAACACUAAGAAAAAUAGAGGUUUUUAAAAAAGUGGAUAUUCAUAAGCAAAAGAAUCCAGAGACCGUGUGGAGAGCUCAGUUCACCAGAAACCAUUCAUAUUCAAUAUGGUAUUUGUGUGGUGCAUUUGAGUGUUUGUGUGUGUGUUGAGUAUGUGCAGUGUGUCUUCAGUGUAGGGUUUGUGCUUUGUAUGUAUUUUGUGUGUAUGUGUGUGGAAUAUCUGUGGUGUGAGUGCGCUGUAUGUGUAGAUCUUAGUGGGUGUUGGUUAUGGUGUGUGGUGUAUGUGAACUGUGUGUGUGGUAUAUAUGAAUUGUGAAUGUGGUUUAUAUGUGGAGUAUAUGCAGCGUAAGUGUGGGCUGUGCAGUGUGCGUAUGUGUGUGUUAUUUGUGUGGCAGCGAAACAUGGUCAUGAAACAGUGUGCUAAGCACAUUUUAUCAUUCACUGUCUCACUCUGUUAUUGCCAAGUUUUUCCCAAAUGGGAAGGCCUGUGUUAAUGGGCACUGAGUAAUUUUGUUUCUUUUCAAAAGAAAUCCACUAAUGUUGUUGCCUCAUUGUGUUUUCUAAAAAUAUGGAAAAAAGGACGAGCAGUCUUAGCCCUGGACGUCUCUCCCAGAGCAGAAGGGGUGGGCUGCAGAAUAAACAAUCACCUACAAGGAGGACUGGGGGCCCGGGAGGCUCCAAACGACUUUCCUCACUGACCCCCUUCUCCCCUGUGAAGGAGGGGUCAAAGCCCCAUACCAUUGUCUUCCAGGAGAACCUUUGGACCUGGAAGAGGAAUUUCUUAACUGUUAGCCCCUCUGUGGAGUCAGGGUAAAGGGCGUUGAUCCAUCGUGUGAGGGGAAGGGAAGGGUAGGAUCCCUUCCAUCUGGCUGGGGCUGCAAAGACUUCAUUACCACCCCACUUACCCCUCCCACUAUUGAAGCAGAUGGGGGUGUGGGAAACACCUAAAAUGUGUAACUCCUGGGGGAGGAGGAAGCUCAGUCUCCUCACCUCUAAGCCAGGCCCCCUUGGAGACCUCAAAGAUCCCAUAAACCCUGCAUUUGGUGUGCUUCUCUCUCCCUACUACUCCCCUUGGGCCUAAGCUGGCUGCAGGUCAGACUUGCCUGAACAUGCCCCUGCCUGAAGCUUUGGAGACCCAGCUCUGGCAUCCCUGCAGCCAAGAAGCCUUCCCCAGCACGCCCACCCCCACCCUCCCAUCCCUUAGGUGCCCCUCCUCAUGUCAUCCUUAUACCUGUGUAUAUCUCUUGUUAAUAAUUGUUUCCACUUUAGUCUUCUUAUUGGACUAUGAGCUUCUUGAGGAUGGUGUUCUACUCUCCUUAACUUCCAGUGGACAGCACAUAGUAAAGGCUCAGUGAACAUUCCUUGGAUGAACAGAUGAAUGGACGGAUGGAUGGAUGGAUGGAUGGAUAAAGCAAAAAGGUCUGUGUGGGGCCCUUUCGUACAACAGCCCCCUAGGCGAUCCUGACGCUCCGCUCCAUUUUAGUUGGAAUGUCUGCUGACCUCUCAGAAAGAAAGAUGAGAAGACCAAAGGGAAGUAUCCAAAGCAACCCUGAAUGGGAACCAGAUCCCACAGUCCGCUGGCUUACACUGGCCCUCUCUCCCUUCACCUCAUCGCCUCUUCAGAGAGGCCUUCCCUGGUGGCCCCAUCCCUUCUUCUCCUCUGUUGUUUCCUUUCAAGGCACUCAGCCAGUAUGGAAUUAUACAGGGCUGAUGUGACAAUCAAGACACAGCGUAUGUGACAAUGCUUUGGGAGCAGCAGAGCAUUUUAUUGCAGAGGCACCCUUGCCAUCAGCUUGCUUAGGAUGGCUGGCUGUGCCGUCCUGGUCAUUAGCUGUCAUCCACCCUUUGCCUUCCUCCUUGUUCACGGAAGUGUCUCUCAAGCAUCUAUUUUUUCACCAUACUGAACCUUAAAGAGUUAUGUAGACACUGACAAAUAGCUAAUUCUAUCAGCUCCUCAAGGAACUGCCUGUCUCUUCAUUUUGCUUGAGACCCCUUAUCACCAAUCACUGGGAGGAAGAAGGGAGAGUAGUGACAAAGCUUAUUUCCUCCUGGUAGUUAAUUCACUUUAUCAUUUAAAAAAAGGUGUUAGGGUUUUUCUUUGUUCAAGGCACUGGGUCGGGCUCAGUGGGGUGCAGCAUGGUGCACCUAAAAUAAUCUCAGCUUUGGAAUCUGAGAGACUUUGAAUUCAAACCCAGGCGUGGCUAUUUGCUUAGCUCUGCAGACUUGGCGGGUAAUGCUCGCUCUGAGCUUUAAGUUCGUCUUCUGUACUGGGGGUAUUACAUCUCUUGCAGCGAUAUUGAGAAGAUUAUAUAAUUAAUGCCUGUGAGUGACUGGCACAUAGUGAGUGCAGAGAGGACAGAUAAGCAGCAAGGGCCAUCUUCAAGCUCAAAGCGUGGUAACAGGAGUUGUGGAUGAUGAGAUGUGACAACCAACAGAAAGGUGCAGAGAGGGAGGGGCAUCUUCAAAACAAUAGCGAAGGUCUCGUUCUGACAGUACUCAAGUAGCAGCCGAAGGAUCGCUGUGAAAGGUGCAACCCUGUGUUCUCUUCAGUUUCUGAAGUCAUAAAAACAAAAUGGCCAACCGAAAAAAAUUCUGUUAAGUCCCAAUACUAAAGGGUAAAGAUGAGGUAAUACAGUGUCUGUGUUGUAGUUAUGCAAAUGAGAACAAUGAGAGAAAGUUAGCGAUGGCUUCUCAACUGUCCCUGGAAAUGUGAUCUAAAGGUUUACUGCAGUCUAGGUAUUUUUAAUUUUUCCUUUGGCAAUCAUCACGAUGGUUGGUGCUGGGGCACCUCGCUGGCUCAGUCGUUUGAGCGUCCGACUUUAGCUCAGGUCAUGAUCUCAGGAGUUCAAACCCCAUAUUGGGCUCGCUGCUGUCAGCACAGAGCCUGCUUUGGAUCCUCUGUCCCUUUCUCUCUCUGCCUCUCCCUGUUCUCUCUCUUUCAAAAAUAAACAUUUAAAAAUAAAUAAAUAGCCUUAAAAAAAAAAAGAUGGUUGGUGCUAAAAAGUACAUUAGGAAACUCAAUGACUUCCAAAUAUGGAACUUGUUUGGGUUGAGAGGUAUUAAUAUGGAAACAGGUGAGUCUGCAGGCUGGUCAUUUUGUGCUCUGAUGUGCUUUAGAGACUAGAGCAGUGGGCUGAAUUAUCAAUAAACUGAAAUCUAUUCUAAAUUCCAAGAUCUCCUUCUGCCUGGGCUAUGUGACCAUGAGCAGGUCUUUAACAUCCCCGUGUUCAGAUUCUGGGAGUCAAGAUUACUGACUCAAUGAAGUCACCACCUCCUUGUCAGGUAGUAGGUGUUAAACGUUUUGAACUCCUGAGAUUAGGGCCAAUUGCUACUGGGAUUAUACUUAUUCAUCAUUAAGCAACUCUAAACAGGUUGGGUAUAAGUUACUAAGGAGGAGAAAGACAAAUGUUAUCAAGACAAAUGUAUGCUAAUUUUUUAGCAUCCAAUCUAAAAUAAAUGAUCUUCCUAAGUGUACAGUGUGGACCCUGGGGUCCCAUGAGGGAGAACAAAGGACAUCUCUUAGCUUUCCAGGCUUUUCCAUAUCCUGGUGUAAGAGCCUACUAAAUUCGGGGUGUCUGGGUGGCUCAGUUGGUUGAGCAUCCAACUCUUGAUUUUGAUUCAGGUCAUGAUCCCAGGGUCGUGGGAUUAAGCCCUGAGUUGGGCUCUGCGCUGACGGAGGAGUCUGCUG